rnacentral:rRNA from 1 species
ACCCUGAACAUGCCCGAUCUCGUCUGAUCUCGGAAGCUAAGCAGGGUUGGGCCUGGUUAGUACUUGGAUGGUAGACCUCCUGGGAAUACUGGGU